rnacentral:snRNA from 1 species
GGAUGUGAAAGCAAUCUGCCUGCGACAUCUGUCACCAUAUUGAUUGCCAGGGUUGAUUCAGCUGAUCUGCUUGGCUAGGCAGGUGUCCCUUCCUCCCUCACCUCUCCAUGUGUGUCCCUCUCAAAGCCGCAUGCUCGUUCGAAAUGGACAACCAUAUCAGAUGUAGGAGUACCAGUCUUUGGUCAAGGGUAUAUGAAUAGCUGCACUCCCCUGCUAGAACCUCUAAACAAGCUCUCAAGAAAAGGGCCUCUACAUAUUCACCCAUUGUGAUCCUGGUCCUCAAGU